AGCGGCGGACGGGUGAGUAAUGCCUGGGAAAUUGCCCUGAUGUGGGGGAUAACCAUUGGAAACGAUGGCUAAUACCGCAUAAUAGCUUCGGCUCAAAGAGGGGGACCUUCGGGCCUCUCGCGUCAGGAUAUGCCCAGGUGGGAUUAGCUAGUUGGUGAGGUAAUGGCUCACCAAGGCGACGAUCCCUAGCUGGUCUGAGAGGAUGAUCAGCCACACUGGAACUGAGACACGGUCCAGACUCCUACGGGAGGCAGCAGUGGGGAAUAUUGCACAAUGGGCGCAAGCCUGAUGCAGCCAUGCCGCGUGUGUGAAGAAGGCCUUCGGGUUGUAAAGCACUUUCAGUCGUGAGGAAGGCGGUGUAGUUAAUAGCUGCAUCGUUUGACGUUAGCGACAGAAGAAGCACCGGCUAACUCCGUGCCAGCAGCCGCGGUAAUACGGAGGGUGCGAGCGUUAAUCGGAAUUACUGGGCGUAAAGCGCAUGCAGGUGGUUAGUUAAGUCAGAUGUGAAAGCCCGGGGCUCAACCUCGGAACUGCAUUUGAAACUGGCUGACUAGAGUACUGUAGAGGGGGGUAGAAUUUCAGGUGUAGCGGUGAAAUGCGUAGAGAUCUGAAGGAAUACCGGUGGCGAAGGCGGCCCCCUGGACAGAUACUGACACUCAGAUGCGAAAGCGUGGGGAGCAAACAGGAUUAGAUACCCUGGUAGUCCACGCCGUAAACGAUGUCUACUUGGAGGUUGUGGCCUUGAGCCGUGGCUUUCGGAGCUAACGCGUUAAGUAGACCGCCUGGGGAGUACGGUCGCAAGAUUAAAACUCAAAUGAAUUGACGGGGGCCCGCACAAGCGGUGGAGCAUGUGGUUUAAUUCGAUGCAACGCGAAGAACCUUACCUACUCUUGACAUCCAGAGAACUUAGCAGAGAUGCUUUGGUGCCUUCGGGAACUCUGAGACAGGUGCUGCAUGGCUGUCGUCAGCUCGUGUUGUGAAAUGUUGGGUUAAGUCCCGCAACGAGCGCAACCCUUAUCCUUGUUUGCCAGCACUUCGGGUGGGAACUCCAGGGAGACUGCCGGUGAUAAACCGGAGGAAGGUGGGGACGACGUCAAGUCAUCAUGGCCCUUACGAGUAGGGCUACACACGUGCUACAAUGGCGCAUACAGAGGGCAGCCAACUUGCGAAAGUGAGCGAAUCCCAAAAAGUGCGUCGUAGUCCGGAUUGGAGUCUGCAACUCGACUCCAUGAAGUCGGAAUCGCUAGUAAUCGUGGAUCAGAACGCCACGGUGAGUACGUUCCCGGGCCUUGUACACACCGCCCGUCA
rnacentral:rRNA from 1 species